rnacentral:rRNA from 1 species
GAUGAACGCUGGCGGCGUGCCUAAUACAUGCAAGUCGAGCGAACGGACGAGAAGCUUGCUUCUCUGAUGUUAGCGGCGGACGGGUGAGUAACACGUGGAUACCCUACCUAUAAGACUGGGAUAACUUCGGGAAACCGGAGCUAAUACCGGAUAAUAUUUUGAACCGCAUGGUUCAAAAGUGAAAGACGGUCUUGCUGUCACUUAUAGAUGGAUCCGCGCUGCAUUAGCUAGUUGGUAAGGUAACGGCUUACCAAGGCAACGAUGCAUAGCCGACCUGAGAGGGUGAUCGGCCACACUGGAACUGAGACACGGUCCAGACUCCUACGGGAGGCAGCAGUAGGGAAUCUUCCGCAAUGGGCGAAAGCCUGACGGAGCAACGCCGCGUGAGUGAUGAAGGUCUUCGGAUCGUAAAACUCUGUUAGUAGGGAAGAACAUAUGUGUAAGUAACUGUGCACAUCUUGACGGUACCUAAUCAGAAAGCCACGGCUAACUACGUG